GUCCCAGUGGCGCAGCGGAUAGCGCGUUGGACUUCUAAUCCAAAGGUCGUGGGUUCGAUCCCCACCUGGGAUG